rnacentral:lncRNA from 1 species
GCACAAAGAUGUUUGCAGAAGAUGUUUAUUGUCUUUGAAUAUCAAUUUUCCUAGCUGUAAGAUAUAAAAUUAUAAGACAGUGUGAGAAAGCGUCAAACACUAUACAAAUGACAGUUACCAUUAUUUAGGCUCACAGAGAGAAUGGUAAAUACUCUGCCCUAAGAGAAGGACCUCUGCCACAUCACUGAGCCGUGUCACCCAGCCACAGAUAAACAACCAGGCCACUCUGGAGGAAAGUCACUCAUUUAAGAGACAGGAACGUAUCGCACAGGAAACGCCCCGCAGAGAGCAAGAUAUGUCUGUUUGGGAGGCUUUCUUAGGUGAUGAUUGAGCAGCUGUGGACAGCACACUUUCUAGUGGUGUUCAUACUGAGAAAGAAAAUCUACAUGAGGGAUUUGGACAAUGGGAUCCACAGGCAGGGGAAUUAGGAGCAAGAUGCCCAUUCCUUCUGUGAAGAGCCUUGAAAGAGAAUGCUGUGGUAACCUGGAGAAAUGUGAACCUCUGGAGUAGCAGCUCUCUGAGUCAACAAAACAGGGUUCUGUGGAUGUUUCGUGCCUCUGUUGCAAAGGUCCAUAAGGUUCACUAGGGCAAACCCCAGGCCACAGGAAUUAGCUCAAGAAGGGAAAUAUGAUCCAAACACCGGGCGAAUAUCUCCAUCGCCAAUAUUUGCUAGAACUAUUAAGAAGCUGCGAGAAGUUGAAGCAUUUUUUUUUUCCUACUGGAGUUGCCUGUCUAGUAAGGAUGACAGUCUGAAGCUUUUGCUGGUCAUCUUGCCACCAUGAAAAGAGGACCCUUCUGUGAAUAAAACCAACGCCGAUGAAGGCA